AACGCGAAGAACCUUACCUGGGCUAGAAUGCCUCUGACCGCCCUAGAGAUAUGGCUUCCUGGGUAAAACCAGGCAGAGUGCAAGGUGCUGCAUGGCUGCCGUCAGCUCGUGUCGUGAGAUGUUGGGUUAAGUCCCGCAACGAGCGCAACCCUUAUCAAUAGUUGCCAGCGGUUCGGCCGGGCACUCUAUUGAGACUGCCGUUGACAAAACGGAGGAAGGUGGGGAUGACGUCAAGUCCUCAUGGCCUUUAUGUCCAGGGCUACACACGUGCUACAAUGGCCGGUACGGCGCGUCGCCAACUCGCAAGAGUGCGCCAAUCGCUAAAAGCCGGUCUAAGUUCGGAUUGUGGUCUGCAACUCGACCACAUGAAGCUGGAAUCGCUAAUAAUCGUGGACCAGCCACGCCACGGUGAAUACGUUCCCGGGCCUUGUACACACCG
rnacentral:rRNA from 1 species